rnacentral:rRNA from 1 species
UACGAAGGGGGCUAGCGUUGCUCGGAAUCACUGGGCGUAAAGCGCACGUAGGCGGAUUCCUAAGUCGGGGGUGAAAUCCUGGAGCUUAACUCCAGAACUGCCUUCGAUACUGGGAAUCUUGAAUCCGGAAGAGGUGAGUGGAACUGCGAGUGUAGAGGUGAAAUUCGUAGAUAUUCGCAAGAACACCGGUGGCGAAGGCGACCAACUGGUCCGACAUUGACACUGAGGCACGAAAGCGUGGGUAGCAAACAGG